rnacentral:rRNA from 1 species
GAUGAACGCUCGCGGGAGGCCUAACACAUGCAAGCCGAGCGGUAUUUGUCCUUCGGGACAGAGAGAGCGGCGUACGGGUGCGGAACACGUGUGCAACCUGCCUUUAUCUGGGGGAUAGCCUUUCGAAAGGAAGAUUAAUACCCCAUAAUAUAUCGAAUGGCAUCAUUCGAUAUUGAAAACUCCGGUGGAUAGAGAUGGGCACGCGCAAGAUUAGAUAGUUGGUGAGGUAACGGCUCACCAAGUCAGUGAUCUUUAGGGGGCCUGAGAGGGUGAUCCCCCACACUGGUACUGAGACACGGACCAGACUCCUACGGGAGGCAGCAGUGAGGAAUAUUGGACAAUGGGUGAGAGCCUGAUCCAGCCAUCCCGCGUGAAGGACUAAGGCCCUAUGGGUUGUAAACUUCUUUUAUACUGGGAUAAACCUACUUACGUGUAAGUAGCUGAAGGUACAGUAUGAAUAAGCACCGGCUAACUCCGUG